AUGCACGCUGGCGGCGUGCCUAAUACAUGCAAGUCGAGCGAACGGACGAGAAGCUUGCUUCUCUGAUGUUAGCGGCGGACGGGUGAGUAACACGUGGAUAACCUACCUAUAAGACUGGGAUAACUUCGGGAAACCGUAGCUAAUACCGGAUAAUAUUUUGCACCGCAUGGUUCAAAAGUGAAAGACGGUCUUGCUGUCACUUAUAGAUGGAUCCGCGCUGCAUUAGCUAGUUGGUAAGGUGACGGCUUACCAAGGCAACGAUGCAUAGCCGACCUGAGAGGGUGAUCGGCCACACUGGAACUGAGACACGGUCCAGACUCCUACGGGAGGCAGCAGUAGGGAAUCUUCCGCAAUGGGCGAAAGCCUGACGGAGCAACGCCGCGUGAGUGAUGAAGGUCUUCGGAUCGUAAAACUCUGUUAUUAGGGAAGAACAUAUGUGUAAGUAACUGUGCACAUCUUGACGGUACCUAAUCAGAAAGCCACGGCUAACUACGUG
rnacentral:rRNA from 1 species